AACGAACGCUGGCGGCGUGCCUAACACAUGCAAGUCGAACGGAAUUAGAGAGCUUGCUCUUUAAUUUAGUGGCGCACGGGUGAGUAACGCGUAGAUAAUCUGCCCGACGAUCCGGGAUAACAGUUCGAAAGGACUGCUAAUACCGGAUAAGCCCACGGGUUCUUUGGAAUCUGCGGGAAAAGGGGGGGACCUUCGGGACUUCUGUCGUCGGAUGAGUCUGCGUACCAUUAGCUAGUUGGUAGGGUAAAGGCCUACCAAGGCUACGAUGGUUGGCUGGGCUGAGAGGAUGAUCGGCCACACUGGAACUGGGACACGGGCCAGACUCCUACGGGAGGCAGCAGGGGGGAAUUUUGCGCAAUGGGCGAAAGCCUGACGCAGCAACGCCGCGUGAGUGAUGAAGGCUAUCGGGUCGUAAAGCUCUGUCAGAGGGAAAGAAGUGUAUUGUGGCUAAUAUCCGCGAUACUUGACGGUACCCUCAAAGGAAGCACCGGCUAACUCCGUGCCAGCCGCCGCCGUAACAC
rnacentral:rRNA from 1 species